rnacentral:rRNA from 1 species
GAAGCGCAGUAAUGCGUGAAGCUAACUUGUACUAAUUGGCUGAUUGUCUUGACCAUAUAAUCUG